rnacentral:lncRNA from 1 species
AUGUCUUUGUGUUUAUGCUGCAGCCCAAAGUUAAACCAACAACAAAAAGGACAAGCAAGUGGAGCAGCACAAAGCAGACAGAAGACAAAGGCUAGAGGAGAUGGAACGAUUCCAGGGAAGAUGAGUGAACAUAUAUACGAGAAUGACAAACAUGAAAAUGAGUAUGAGAAUGGAUAUGUAUGAAAAUGUAAAACUUGAAGAUUCAAGAAGGCCAAGGGCUCCUACUCCUCCUCAGGUGAGCAGUCCAGUCCAGUUCAUCCCAUUCUAGAGCAUCAUAUGUGUGUUACAACUGCAUCACAAAAUAAUUGCUCUUUAUUCUUUCCUGUGGCUUUGCAGUAAAACAAUAAGGAAGUCAUUUGGUUGGUUUAUUUUAUUACAUGCUUGUGUCACGUCUCUGUUCAGGUAUCAAACCCUCCUCCUGUGCGCAGGUGAGGAAGUGAAGACACUGAAACACAUCUACUGCAAGAUGAUCUAUCAGGCUGUAUCAAUUUUUUCCUCCUUUUUUUUUGUAAAUUUAAAGAUAAAUUGUAUAUGACCUAUUACUGAAAUAUUAUAAACUGUUGCAUCAACUGUUUGUUUUAUGUGCUCCACUCAUGCAGUUUAAUUAUAAACUUGUUCCUCACAAUGGACAAAGGUAUUUUUUCUUAAAUAGUUCCUUACAAAGUCACAAAUACAGAAGCAUAUUUCUGUAACAGUUAUUAGAUUAGAGUUAUAGCCAUUAUCGUAUACACUGAGUUAUAAAAGCUAAAUGUCUGUUAAUGACGUGAAAACAUGACAUACUAAAAUAGGACAAGUACUAAUAACAUAGAAUCAUAUCUGCAGAUCUGGUAUUGUAAUGAUCAUUUGCAGGCUCACGUGGAAUCUGCACAUACAGAACUCAGUAGAAAGCAGAUUUAACACCAGUUCAUUUGUCAUCCU